rnacentral:rRNA from 1 species
CCUACGGGAGGCUGCAGUGGGGAAUAUUGGACAAUGGGCGAAAGCCUGAUCCAGCCAUGCCGCGUGUGUGAAGAAGGCCUUCGGGUUGUAAAGCACUUUCAGUGGGGAAGAAAGCCUUGGGGCUAAUACCCUCGAGGAAGGACAUCACCCACAGAAGAAGCACCGGCUAACUCCGUGCCAGCAGCCGCGGUAAUACGGAGGGUGCGAGCGUUAAUCGGAAUUACUGGGCGUAAAGCGCGCGUAGGCGGUCUGAUAAGCCGGUUGUGAAAGCCCCGGGCUCAACCUGGGAACGGCAUCCGGAACUGUCAGGCUAGAGUGCAGGAGAGGAAGGUAGAAUUCCCGGUGUAGCGGUGAAAUGCGUAGAGAUCGGGAGGAAUACCAGUGGCGAAGGCGGCCUUCUGGACUGACACUGACGCUGAGGGGCGAAAGCGUGGGUAGCAGACAGGAUUAGAGACCCUAGUAGUC